UUCUUCUUCUUCUACUGAGAGCUUGUCUUUGUCUUGUCUUUGUUCUUCUUGUCUUUGUUCUUCUACUGGGAGCUUGUCUAAGUCAGAACCACCGUUUAACUCGGUGGUUUGGGGUGUAUUGAGGUGGCUAUCGGCUGUAGACGAAGGAGACUCGCGGCGGCGGAAGUGGUGGUUGGUGUUAGUGUGGCUUUUUUGGCCCCAUUUCAACCGGGUAAAGAGAAAUAAUGCAGUGGCUGUGACUUGACCGGUGCCGUUGCCAUUCUAAGAAUUGGGCAAAAGAGCAAAACCCUACUAAGACCUUUAUCUCGGUAUUGGGACAUCCGUCACCGUGCAAAAUGAGGACCUUGAAAAGAUACGACAAACGAUUCAACAACUUUCUAGGAACUAUGCGGAUGAACGAGAAAAAAGAAAGCAUGAAGAGAAGAUUAAAGACGCACUUAAGAAUGACAUCGACUCCCUCAAGGCUCAAGUAAACCACUUAAUCGGCCUGCCCCGCUCUCCGCCAAAAAGUCACAUUUAUGAAGAGGAUGGAAGUGAUGGAAAUAAUAUAAAUGAUGAAGAAGAUGAGGGGAAAUCCGAAGAUGAGGAGUGAUUUCAUGUUUGGUUGGAUUGUUGUUUAGUUGGAUGUUAACUUUGAAUGUUACAUUUUAAAGUUUGGUUGGAUAGUUUUGAUGUUUGAUGGGAUCAUUUGGAUGCUUGGAUAGUUUAUAAAGUUUUAUUGUUGUUAA